GAUGAACGCUGGCGGCGCGCCUAAUACAUGCAAGUAGAACGCAGAAGCUUGGUGCUUGCACCGAGCGGAUGAGUUGCGAACGGGUGAGUAACGCGUAGGUAACCUGCCUCUUAGCGGGGGAUAACUAUUGGAAACGAUAGCUAAUACCGCAUAAAAGUCGAUAUCGCAUGAUAUUGAUUUGAAAGGUGCAAAUGCAUCACUAAGAGAUGGACCUGCGCUGUAUUAGCUAGUUGGUGAGGUAACGGCUCACCAAGGCGACGAUACAUAGCCGACCUGAGAGGGUGAUCGGCCACACUGGGACUGAGACACGGCCCAGACUCCUACGGGAGGCAGCAGUAGGGAAUCUUCGGCAAUGGGGGCAACCCUGACCGAGCAACGCCGCGUGAGUGAAGAAGGUUUUCGGAUCGUAAAGCUCAGUUGUAAGAGAAGAACGAGUGUGAGAGUGGAAAGUUCACACUGUGACGGUAUCUUACCAGAAAGGGCGGCU
rnacentral:rRNA from 1 species